UCUGUCUCGAGCAGCCCUCCCCUUGUGCUCUGGCAGCCUGAGCCUACGUAAAACAAUUUGGUGAGGAGAGAAUCAAGAGGGAUAUGCUGGCUUGAACGUUGGCCUUAUGGUUAAAUCCAAACGCAAGACGAUAUUAAAUAGCCACUGUUUUGUCAGAGAAAAAGAGAAAACGAUAUCUACAAUGCCAGUUAUCGAACUGCCCAGUAAUAACCCAGAAAGUGAAAGUCCGAGGCGGUGUUCCCGCUGUUGCAGUAACCCGUGUCCGGGGCCUCUGUGGUGUUCCUGAUGCCCCUCACCCACCCCUAAAGAUCCCAGGUGGGCGAGGGAAUGACCAGCGGGAUCGCAAUCUUUCAGCUAAGCUAUUCUACUCUGAUGCUCGGUUGCUGGUUCUUGAGGAGCCGCCUCCCGCCAAUGGCAGAGUGCGUUUCCUGCUCUUUGAGCCUCGUUGCUCAGAGGGCAAGCACUGUGUCUGGAGGGGGGUGCUGAAAGGGAGGAACAUCUACAUCGAGAUCCCCCCUGGAGCUCUGCCUGAGGGCAGCAAAGACAGUUUCGCUCUCCUGUUGGAAUGUGCGGAAGAGAAGCUGCAGGUUGACCAUGUCUUCAUCUGCUUCUACAAGAACCGAGAUGACAGAGCAUCUCUGCUGCGUACCUUCAGCUUCCUGGGCUUUGAGAUUGUGAGACCGGGUCAUCCACUCGUCCCUACCCGCCCCGAUGCUUUCUUCAUGGCUUACAGAAUCGAACAAGACUCCUUCGACGAUGACUAAUGGGUCACGCACAUGCCACAAAUGCACGUUAGCUUUUACAUACCCUUCCCCAUCCCACUUCAUCACUUAGGGAAAAUAAAUAUGAUCAAAAUUCAUUAAAGUCAAGGUUUCCUGUGAAAUAGUUUAUUUACUUUGAUGUGAUGUAUUACAAUGACAUUUGAACUAGUGUGUAAUGUUAAACCAAGAAUGUAUCCUUAUUAAAUCUGGGAAAUGUUUCAACACUGUACUAAUUUCCAUGUGUAGUACUGAUUUCCCCCAUCCACUACAAUGUUCAUCUCUAGGCUGUACAAUUUAUGGUGAAAAUGUCCAUGCUGCAUAUUCAUGUUAUGUUGUGUUUUCUUGGGUAUUUCAAGUUGAUUUUCAUGUUUUAUAUUGAUUUGAUUUUAAUGUGUGCAUGAACUUUGAUUUGUAGUUUUGAUCCACUUGACUGAAAUCUGCAUGUUGUAACAAGUGCCCGAAUAAAAGUGCUCACCUUAACCAUAAGGCAUAAAUCCACUUGUUAUGUGUGUAGGAAUUGGGGAAAGGGCAUUGAAAUAUGUGUAACGAUUUACAAGACGUUGUAUUUUGUGGGCACACGUACCAGAGUUGUAGAAGCAUCUGUUUAAAGCAUCAGUCUGUUGAAUUUAACCUAAUGCACUUUAAGUUGAUCUUUUAAAAUCUUUAAUGGGGCUCCUUGGAUCCAUGAAAUGUUAAUUAUAGAACACAGUGCAUAUACAUUUGAUUUGGAGCUGAUAUGUAAUUUGCCCAAUAUACUUGGAAAGCAAUUCUGUGGAAAAAUGUCUAAUAAAAAAGCAAACGUUUUAAUGCA